rnacentral:rRNA from 1 species
ACGGCACAUGAUACUGCGAGACUAGAGUAAUGGAGGGGGAACCGGAAUUCUCGGUGUAGCAGUGAAAUGCGUAGAUAUCGAGAGGAACACUCGUGGCGAAGGCGGGUUCCUGGACAUUAACUGACGCUGAGGCACGAAGGCCAGGGGAGCGAAAGGGAUUAGAUACCCCUGUAGUCCUGGCAGUAAACGGUGCACGCUUGGUGUGCGGGGAAUCGACCCCCUGCGUGCCGGAGCUAACGCGUUAAGCGUGCCGCCUGGGGAGUACGGUCGCAAGAUUAAAACUCAAAGAAAUUGACGGGGGCCCGCACAAGCGGUGGAGUAUGUGGUUUAAUUCGAUGCAACGCGAAGAACCUUACCUGGGCUUGACAUGUAAUGAACAACAUGUGAAAGCAUGCGACUCUUCGGAGGCGUUACACAGGUGCUGCAUGGCCGUCGUCAGCUCGUGUCGUGAGAUGUUUGGUUAAGUCCAGCAACGAGCGCAACCCCUGUUGCCAGUUACCAGCACGUGAAGGUGGGGACUCUGGCGAGACUGCCCAGAUCAACUGGGAGGAAGGUGGGGACGACGUCAGGUCAGUAUGGCCCUUAUGCCCAGGGCUGCACACGUACUACAAUGCCCAGUACAGAGGGGGCCGAAGCCGCGAGGCGGAGGAAAUCCUAAAAACUGGGCCCAGUUCGGACUGUAGGCUGCAACCCGCCUACACGAAGCCGGAAUCGCUAGUAAUGGCGCAUCAGCUACGGCGCCGUGAAUACGUUCCCGGGUCUUGUACACACCGCCCGUCACAUCAUGGAAGCCGGUCGCACCCGAAGUAUCUGAAGCCAACCGCAAGGAGGCAGGGUCCUAAGGU